rfam:Picea glauca, whole genome shotgun sequence.
GGGUGCAGUCAUACCAAUGUCAAUGCACCAAAUCCCAUCAAAACUCCACAUUUAGCUACACUUGGGCUAGAGUAGUAUUGGGAUGGGUGAUCUCUCAAGAAGUCUUAGUGUUACACCCU